GACGAACGCUGGCGGCGUGUUUAAGACAUGCAAGUCGCACGGGACUAUUUGAGUAGCAAUACAAGAAUAGUUUAGUGGCGCACGGGUGAGUAACACGUGAAUUACAUGCUCUGCAGAGGGGGAUAGCACAGGGAAACUUUGAUUAAUACGCCAUGGUGUCGCGAGAUGAAGGGUGGCCGCAAGGCUGUCGCUGCAGGAUUGGUUCGCGCCCUAUCGGCUUGGUGGGAAGGUAACGGCCCACCAAGGAUACGACGGGUACCUGGUCUGAGAAGACGAUAAGGCACACUGGAACUGAGACACGGUCCAGAAACGUACGGGUGGCAGCAGUCGAGAAUCGUUCACGAUGGGGGAAACCCUGAUGGCGCGACGCCGCGUGGGGGAUGAAGGUCUUCGGAUUGUAAACUCCUGUCAUGGGGGACUAAUGGUCGGGCUCAUACCCCGAUUUGAAUUAACCCCAAGAGGAAGCAGUGGCUAACUCUGUGCCAGCCGCCGCCGUAA
rnacentral:rRNA from 1 species